rnacentral:rRNA from 1 species
AGUGAACGCUGGCGGUAGGCCUAACACAUGCAAGUCGAACGGCAGCACAGUAAGAGCUUGCUCUUACGGGUGGCGAGUGGCGGACGGGUGAGGAAUACAUCGGAAUCUACCUUUUCGUGGGGGAUAACGUAGGGAAACUUACGCUAAUACCGCAUACGACCUACGGGUGAAAGCAGGGGAUCUUCGGACCUUGCGCGAUUGAAUGAGCCGAUGUCGGAUUAGCUAGUUGGCGGGGUAAAGGCCCACCAAGGCGACGAUCCGUAGCUGGUCUGAGAGGAUGAACAGCCAAACUGGAACUUAGACACGGUCCCGACUCCUACGGGAGGCAGCAGUGGGGAAUAUUGGACAAUGGGCGCAAGCCUGAUCCAGCCAUACCGCGUGGGUGAAGAAGGCCUUCGGGUUUUAAAGCCCUUUUUUUGGGAAAGAAAAGCAGCAGGUUAAUACCCCGCUGUUCUGACGGUACCCAAAGAAUAAGCAACGGCUAACUUCGUG